rnacentral:rRNA from 1 species
UUGCCUUCCUGAGAGCGGCGGACGGGUGCGUAACACGUAGGAAUCUGCCCGGUAGUGGGGGAUAGCCCGGAGAAAUUCGGAUUAAUACCGCAUACGCCCUAAGGGGGAAAGCAGGGGAUCUUCGGACCUUGCGCUAUCGGAUGAGCCUGCGUCGGAUUAGCUAGUUGGUGGGGUAAAGGCCCACCAAGGCGACGAUCCGUAGCUGGUCUGAGAGGAUGAUCAGCCACACUGGGACUGAGACACGGCCCAGACUCCUACGGGAGGCAGCAGUGGGGAAUAUUGCACAAUGGGCGAAAGCCUGAUGCAGCCAUGCCGCGUGUGUGAAGAAGGCCCUAGGGUUGUAAAGCACUUUCAGUGGGGAGGAAAGGGAGAUUGCUAAUAUCAGUCUCCUGUGACGUUACCCACAGAAGAAGCACCGGCUAACUCCGUGCCAGCAGCCGCGGUAAUACGGAGGGUGCGAGCGUUAAUCGGAAUUACUGGGCGUAAAGCGUGCGUAGGCGGCUUUUUAAGUUGGAUGUGAAAGCCCCGGGCUUAACCUGGGAACUGCAUCCAAAACUGGAAGGCUUGAGUGCGAGAGAGGAGUGUGGAAUUUCCUGUGUAGCG